rnacentral:rRNA from 1 species
GGACAACCUGCCCUAAGGUGAGGGAUAACUCCGGGAAACUGGAGAUAAUACCUCAUAGUUUACCAUCGCUGGAAUGCCUGGUAAGCGAAAGGUCCGCCGCCUUAGGAUGGGUCUGCGGCCGAUUAGGUAGUUGUUGGGGUAACGGCCCAACAAGCCUGUAAUCGGUACGGGUUGUGGGAGCAAGAGCCCGGAGAUGGAUUCUGAGACACGAAUCCAGGCCCCACGGGGCGCAGCAGGCGCGAAAACUUUACAAUGCAGGCAACUGUGAUAAGGGAACCCCGAGUGCCCGUAUGGACGGGCUGUUCAGGUGCUUAAAAACCACCUGGAGAAAGGGCCGGGCAAGACCGGUGCCAGCCGCCGCGGUAACACCGGCGGCUCGAGUGGUGGCCACUAUUACUGGGCUUAAAGCGUCCGUAGCUUGGUCGUUAAGCCUCUGGGGAAAUCUUCCGGCUCAACCGGAAGGCGUCUCAGGGGAACUGGCGACCUAGGGAUCGGGAGAGGUGAGAGGUACUCUGGGGGUAGGAGUGAAAUCCUGUAAUCCUCAGGGGACCACCUGUGGCGAAGGCGUCUCACCAGAACGACUCCGACAGUGAGGGACGAAAGCUGGGGGAGCAAACCGGAUUAGAUACCCGGGUAGUCCCAGCCGUAAACGAUGCGCGUUAGGUGUAUCGGUGACCACGAGUUACCGAGGUGCCGAAGGGAAACCGUGAAACGCGCCGCCUGGGAAGUACGGUCGCAAGGCUGAAACUUAA